UCGGGAAUAUUGCGCAAUGGAGGAAACUCUGACGCAGUGACGCCGCGUGCAGGAAGAAGGUUUUCGGAUUGUAAACUGCUUUAGACAGGGAAGAAAAAAGACAGUACCUGUAGAAUAAGCUCCGGCUAACUACGUGCCAGCAGCCGCGGUAAUACGUAGGGAGCAAGCGUUAUCCGGAUUUAUUGGGUGUAAAGGGUGCGUAGACGGGAAAUUAAGUUAGUUGUGAAAUCCCUCGGCUCAACUGAGGAACUGCAACUAAAACUGAUUUUCUUGAGUGCUGGAGAGGAAAGUGGAAUUCCUAGUGUAGCGGUGAAAUGCGUAGAUAUUAGGAGGAACACCAGUGGCGAAGGCGACUUUCUGGACAGUAACUGACGUUGAGGCACGAAAGUGUGGGGAGCAAACA
rnacentral:rRNA from 1 species